rnacentral:rRNA from 1 species
AUUGAACGCUGGCGGCAGGCUUAACACAUGCAAGUCGAGCGGAGAUGAGGUGCUUGCACCUUAUCUUAGCGGCGGACGGGUGAGUAAUGCUUAGGAAUCUGCCAUUUAGUGGGGGACAACAUUCCGAAAGGAAUGCUAAUACCGCAUACGUCCUACGGGAGAAAGCAGGGGAUCUUCGGACCUUGCGCUAAAGGAUGAGCCGAAGGCGGAUUAGCUAGUUGGUGGGGUAAAGGCCUACCAAGGCGACGAUCCGUAGCGGGUCUGAGAGGAUGAUCCGCCACACUGGGACUGAGACACGGCCCAGACUCCUACGGGAGGCAGCAGUGGGGAAUAUUGGACAAUGGGCGGAAGCCUGAUCCAGCCAUGCCGCGUGUGUGAAGAAGGCCUUUUGGUUGUAAAGCACUUUAAGCGAGGAGGAGGCUACUAGUACUAAUACUACUGGAUAGUGGACGUUACUCGCAGAAUAAGCACCGGCUAACUCUGUGCCAGCCGCCGCCGUAAAAC